GACGAACGCUGGCGGCGUGCUUAACACAUGCAAGUCGAGCGGUAAGGCCCUUUCGGGGGUACACGAGCGGCGAACGGGUGAGUAACACGUAGGUAAUCUACCUUCGGGUGGGGAAUAACCCAGGGAAACUUGGGCUAACACCGCAUAAUGCAGCGGCACCACAUGGUGACAGUUGUUAAAGCGGGGGAUUUUAGGACCUCGCGCCUGAAGAGGAGCCUGCGGCGGAUUAGCUAGUUGGUAAGGUAACGGCUUACCAAGGCGACGAUCCGUAACCGGCCUGAGAGGGCGGUCGGUCACACUGACACUGACAUACGGGUCAGACUCCUACGGGAGGCAGCAGU
rnacentral:rRNA from 1 species